CCGAGGAAACUCGGAUUAAUACCGGAUAUUCUUAUUUAAUCACAUGAUUUUUUAAGGAAAGGUCAGCCGAACUAAGAUGGGCUCGCGUUCUAUCAGCUAGUUGGUAGGGUAAUGGCCUACCAAGGCUACGACGGAUAGCUGGUCUGAGAGGACGAUCAGCCACACUGGGACUGAGACACGGCCCAGACUCCUACGGGAGGCUGCAGCAGGGAAUAUUGCGCAAUGAGCGAAAGCUUGACGCAGCGACACCGCGUGUGGGAUGACGGAUCUAGGUUUGUAAACCACUUUCAGGAGGGAAGAAAAUGACGGUACCUCCACAAGAAGCCCCGGCCAACUACGUGCCAGCAGCCGCGGUAAUACGUAGGGGGCGAGCGUUGUCCGGAUUUAUUGGGCGUAAAGAGCUCGUAGGCGGUUCAACAAGUCGGUCGUGAAAGUUCAGGGCUCAACCCUGAAAUGCCGAUCGAUACUGUUGUGACUAGGAUACGGUAGAGGUGAGUGGAAUUCCGAGUGUAGCGGUGAAAUGCGUAGAUAUUCGGAGGAACACCAAUUGCGAAGGCAGCUCACUGGGCCGCUAUCGACGCUGAGGAGCGAAAGCUAGGGGAGCAAACAGGAUUAGAUACCCUGGUAGUCCUAGCUGUAAACGAUGGAUACUAGACGUAGGA
rnacentral:rRNA from 1 species